CACCCUUCUCAAAGAAACCGUACGUGACACUCUCGCGUCAUACGGCUCCGUCCCGGAAUCAGGACCUCCCCUCUCCUUUUACUUCGUAACCUCGAACCCUUUCUUUUCAUUCAUUCAUUGAAGGUAGCUGUAGCUUGCUUCCCAUUCCAAGCGCUAGCGGGUACAAGAUAGUCGCCAGAAGCUAACUUCCGGGCCAGGAAGGAUCCAAAAAAAGUAAGCGCCCCUGCAAUCUUUUUAAAGCAACAAGCGAGAAACAGAAAGAAGCGCCAUUAUAAUAUUAGUAAAGGCCACUUACUAUAGAUAGGCUAAGGGCCCUUUUCUUGCUCGUUAGCGCUUUAGUUUUAAAUAAGGACGUUUAGGUUUUUCUAAUAGAAUAUAUGGGGCUUUUCUCGCUUGUUUAGUAUUGCUUUGGCUUUGCCGUCCGCGCGGAAGCCACCGCAACUAAAAAAAAAUGAAUGAAGGAAGAAGGCAUUAGCAUUAGAAAGACUACAAAUACAUUCCGGGCCGACUACAAGACUACGACUACAAUACAAGUCAUGAGCGAUAGCGAAGCCAAGCCCGAUAGGCUUUUUUAUGUCGAAAGCCCCCUCUCGCUAUCUUAUAGCAGACAACUAACGCAAGCCUACUCAACAAAUCUCAUAACAUAAGUAAACGCCUGUUCGCAUCGCAACUAAUAGAAAAAAAACAACUACUAGACUAGACUAGUAGUUGAGUGCUCCUUGUUGUUCGGAUCUUGACCGGUUCCGAGCUUCCCCAGCUCUAUGCUGUUGGGGAACUCUGCAAGGGUCUUACCACCUUCUUGAUUUACUAUAUUUGAGUCUUUGGAGUACUUUGGGAUUAUAUUCC